GGGGAAGUCUGUAUCACUUUCAUGUUUUCCGACAGAAUAGAAAUACAGACCAGCAGCAAGAACAGCCACACACGAUGUCAGUAGGAGUUUACUCAUUAUCCCUGAAAAAGAAUAUUAAUGGGCGAGUUAAGAGGUAACACAGGCAACCGAACACAGGUGACAUAUAAGGUAGACACGUGUGGUGGAUUUAAGUCCCCGAAGUUUGCUGUAACCUGCAUACCACAUUUUUAAAUAGUGACACAAUUUCAGAAUGACAUUCUUUUCAAUCCAAUAUAGGAAAUAAAUAAAUUUACUUAAUUAUGCGGCGUUUAUAUCUUCGGAUCUGCAUCCUGUUUUUGGUGUUUGUUUUUUUUUACAUUUCUCUCGAUAUACGGUACACGUACAUGCAUUUGAAGUUUCAACCAGCGCCUACAAUAUAUCAACAUUUUAGUACCUAUACGCACUGACACGUUCUGUAAGGACAAAAUAGUACAAUUCAAUUUUGGCACUACUAUAUCUUACAUUUCAAUUUGUAUUAAAAUUGCCAAUAACUGGUAUAACUGACACAAUCCUUUCUUUUUCAUGCACAUGUUGAAUCUAUUUGGCCCAUUACCAUACGUAUGUCGAGUGUGUGUUAAAAUGGCGCGUUUUUUUUUACUUAUUUACACGUGUUCAUUACACGAGAUGAUCACGUGAAUGGGUAUAUACACUAUACCACUUAUGAGUACGCAUCGACGGUUCGUGCAGACAUUUAAUUUAUACUGAAUGUGGCAUAGGGGAAUCAGAGAAAUAUACUUUGUUAUAGAAUGAAAUAUAGAUGAGAAAAAAACAAAAAAAAAUAGGAUAAUCAAUAAAUAUUCCAGCACGAUUACUCUUUGCGAUCAAUCGCAGAUCUCUAAAAUAUAUCACCGUGAAUAUCACUUCUACAGUACGAUAUGUUAUCAAUUGGGAGUUUCUUUGUUAAGACAAGUGUGCUACUCGCUUAUUCCAUAACAGUAAAGAGGAAUGUCAGUUUCUGUCUCAAUUUGAUAAAUCAUUACAGGGUAGAUUUAAUUACAUAAUGUACAUGUUAACUUGAUCAGUGUUGGAUACAUAGCAUAGCACCUUCCUAAAAUAAUGCCUCAACUAUGAAAUUCAAAUAUCACUAACAAAACAGUAUUAUAAAUGUAGGCAAUCACUUCGAUAGUAGAAAAAUAUCUCAACAUAAUCAUUGUUCUUGAAGUAUUUUUAAUUCAUCAAUAAAAUAUAAACAGCGUAUAAAGUUAUCUUAAUACAUUGUGUAUUAAUUAACUUAUCAAAAUUAUGAAUAAAAUACGGUAAAAACAAAAACUAAAUUCUGUGGACUAUCAAUUCAGUGGGCGGUGUCAUAGGCAAACGUUUUAUAUGAACAACAUGGGAGAUAUUUGAACACUAUAAUAAACAUGUUUAAACCACAUAAAACAAGUGAGAUAGAUAUCUAAUAAAGACAGUGAAUAAACCACAAAAAAACAUACGAGAUAAAUACAAAACUAUUAAAAGCUUCUUAGAGUACACCAAUAUGACUUUCAAUUCAACAUCAAUAACCAAAUGAUGCGGAAGAUUUUGAUAGCCUUCUAUAUCUGAAAUAACAGGCGAUAUCACAGUUCAAACUAGCUGUGUUUUAUCCUCAUAGUGAAAUAGUCAAGGAAGGAAAACAAUGCAUGAAAAACUAUCAAAAUCAAACAGAAAAUGCUUAAUUAGUUUGUAUUUUCUAAGGGUCUUCAUGCAAAGCUAUACUGUAAUCAUGUGUUGCCUUCGUCAUAUCUAUUUAAGUAAGAAUGUCAGUAAUAAUUUAUUGUAUCGAAAAGUUGUAAAAACAGAUCUAAUGUUGAAAUUCGACGGUUACAUUGGUAUCAUUUUCUUAUUUUAAGUCAUGCAUUAAAGUGUAUUCCAGAAAAAGAUAUACUUAUAUAAGUAUCAUUGCAACUGAAAAUACAAUAACAGAACAAAAGGGCAGAACUAACAGUCUAGACUGAAUUUGUCAUCAUAUAUAGAUACAUAAUUCUUAAACAAAAGAAACUGGCCGGAAAAAACGAUACUUUGAAAAUAACAUUGAUAAAACAGUUUUAUUCGUAUCCUAUUAGUGUUACACAAAGUAAAUAAUCCCUUGUAAAGUUUCUAUCAAAACUCCAUGGUUAUUUUUACAUACGAAUGGGUAUAAUGAUAACCAAAAUGCAACAUACAACCAAGAAUUUAACCUUUUGAUAAGAAAUCAAAAUGAAAGCGUGAUCAGAGCACCCAGUACAUACAAAAUCUAAUACCGAUAGCGAGAAAUACAAAAUCACUUGAGAGAGUUAAAAAAAUUUAAAACAUGCCAGACACAUAAUAAAGGAAAAUGAUUUUCUGACAUGCUCCUAAAAUAUCGAAAGAACGCAUGAAUAAUAUCAUUAUCGAACGAAAUAAAUGCCUCAGGACCAUCGGACUUCCUUGAUGAAAUAAAUAUAUUCACAUAAUUCAUCAAAUAUCACUUCUUCUGAUAUUUGUCAAAAAUGAUUUCACAUAACGCAAGAGCCUGAGAUGAUCAAUAACAAACAAAAAUAAAGAAAAAAUCGCAUUUUAGAUUUAAGCCAAGACACUUCUUGGCCCCAGGUAAGGAUUGGACCCGCGAUACUCGAAACAGGUCAUCCCGUCGUAUGACUUAAGUUGUCGGCUUUAUUUUCGUUAAAUAAAAUGAUGUGUCCAACUCGCUAGUUGCUCAGUUAUGCGAGCGACAGGCGGCGAGUAUGUUGAGAACGAUUUGAACAUUGUCGACAAGACUGGCAUAGUUAAACUAAAAGAUAUUAAAGAUUGAGAAAAAACUAAAGUAGAAAAUGAUGGUGAUUGCUACCUACCUACUAUAGACAAAGCAAUAAGUAAAAUAUUGGUUCUGAUUUCAGUUGGUGCUCUUGUUAUCUUUCUCUAAACAAAAGUCAUCCUUGUAUCUUAUUUAAAAUGACAUAAAUAUUGCACAAGUUGGUUUAUCGAUACCAAUAAUGCCUCAUACAAAUUUGUAUGGGUUUUUUUUUUCUUUCUUUUUUUGAUAUUCAAUCCUCAACCAAAUUUCUAGACGUUGGGCUCUCUCAGGUUAUUAAGAGAUAGAGUUAUGUCUAUUUCUAUCAUAUGUUAUAUCAUUAUUGGGAUUGACCCUGCAUGAGUACGUGUUGGUGUGUUGAAGCCAUUUAUAACAAUAUUACUUAACCUUUAUUACUUGAAGAAGGUGAUUAUGAUAACAGUAACAUGAUAGAGUUGCUCUAACUACAUAACAUUUAAAAUUGAGUAUGCUUUAUACCUCUAAAACAUCUAUAUUCAUCAACAAUAUAAUAUUGAAAUCUUUGAAUGCAGAUUGAACCACAAAUUUUAAUAUAUAUAUAUUAAAGCAGGUCUCGAUGAAUAUCAAAAUAAAAAA